rnacentral:rRNA from 1 species
AUGAACGCUAGCGACAGGCUUAACACAUGCAAGUUGAGGGGCAGCACAGGUAGCAAUACCGGGUGGCGACCGGCGCACGGGUGAGUAACGCGUAUGCAACUUGCCUAUCAGAGGGGGAUAACCCGGCGAAAGUCGGACUAAUACCGCAUGAAGCAGGGGCCCCGCAUGGGGAUAUUUGCUAAAGAUUCAUCGCUGAUAGAUAGGCAUGCGUUCCAUUAGGCAGUUGGCGGGGUAACGGCCCACCAAACCGACGAUGGAUAGGGGUUCUGAGAGGAAGGUCCCCCACAUUGGUACUGAGACACGGACCAAACUCCUACGGGAGGCAGCAGUGAGGAAUAUUGGUCAAUGGCCGAGAGGCUGAACCAGCCAAGUCGCGUGAGGGAUGAAGGUUCUAUGGAUCGUAAACCUCUUUUAUAAGGGAAUAAAGUGCGGGACGUGUCCCGUUUUGUAUGUACCUUAUGAAUAAGGAUCGGCUAACUCCGUGCCAGCAGCCGCGGUAAUACGGAGGAUCCGAGCGUUAUCCGGAUUUAUUGGGUUUAAAGGGUGCGUAGGCGGCCUUUUAAGUCAGCGGUGAAAGUCUGUGGCUCAACCAUAGAAUUGCCGUUGAAACUGGGGGGCUUGAGUAUGUUUGAGGCAGGCGGAAUGCGUGGUGUAGCGGUGAAAUGCAUAGAUAUCACGCAGAACCCCGAUUGCGAAGGCAGCCUGCCAAGCCAUGACUGACGCUGAUGCACGAAAGCGUGGGGAUCAAACAGGAUUAGAUACCCUGGUAGUCCACGCAGUAAACGAUGAUCACUAGCUGUUUGCGAUACACUGUAAGCGGCACAGCGAAAGCGUUAAGUGAUCCACCUGGGGAGUACGCCGGCAACGGUGAAACUCAAAGGAAUUGACGGGGGCCCGCACAAGCGGAGGAACAUGUGGUUUAAUUCGAUGAUACGCGAGGAACCUUACCCGGGUUUGAACGCAUUCGGACCGAGGUGGAAACACCUUUUCUAGCGAUAGCCGUUUGCGAGGUGCUGCAUGGUUGUCGUCAGCUCGUGUCGUGAGAUGUUGGGUUAAGUCCCGCAACGAGCGCAACCCUUAUGGUCAGUUACUACGCAAGAGGACUCUGGCCAGACUGCCGUUGACAAAACGGAGGAAGGUGGGGAUGACGUCAGAUCAUCAUGCCCCUUACGUCCAGGGCUUCACGCAUGCUACAAUGGCCGGUACAACGGGAUGCGACACCGCGAGGUGGAGCGGAUCCCUUAAAACCGGUCUCAGUUCGGAUUGGAGUCUGCAACCCGACUCCAUGAAGGCGGAGUCGCUAGUAAUCGCGGAUCAGCAUGCCGCGGUGAAUACGUUCCCGGGCCUUGUACACACCGCCCGUCACACCAUGAGAGCCGGGGGGACCCGAAGUCGGUAGUCUAACCGCAAGGAGGACGCCGCCGAAGGUAAAACUGGUGAUUGGGGUG